GAGUGAAGCGGCAACAGCUCAAAUUUGAAAUCUGGCCCUUUCAGGGUCCGAGUUGUAAUUUGCAGAGGGUGCUUUGGCGUCGGCCGUGGUCUAAGUUCCUUGGAACAGGACGUCACAGAGGGUGAGAAUCCCGUACGUGGCCGCCGGUCUUCGCCGUGUAAAGCCCCUUCGACGAGUCGAGUUGUUUGGGAAUGCAGCUCUAAAUGGGAGAUACAUUUCUUCUAAAGCUAAAUAUUGGCCAGAGACCGAUAGCGCACAAGUAGAGUGAUCGAAAGAUGAAAAGCACUUUGGAAAGAGAGUCAAAAAGCACGUGAAAUUGUUGAAAGGGAAGCGCUUGCAGCCAGACGUGCCCGCAGUUGCUCACCCAGGCUCUUGCCUGGGGCACUCUUCUGCGGGCAGGCCAGCAUCAGUUCGGGCGGUUGGAUAAAGGUCUCUAUCACGUACCACCCUUCGGGGUGUCCUUAUAGGGGAGACGCAACACGGCCAGCCUGAACUGAGGACCGCGCAUCAGCUAGGAUGCUGGCGUAAUGGCUGUAAGCGGCCCGUCUUGAAACACGGACCAAGGAGUCUAACAUCUAUGCGAGUGUUUGGGUGUAAAGCCCGGGCGCGCAAUGAAAGUGAACGGAGGUGGGAACCCUUUGGGUGCACCAUCGACCGAUCCUGAAGUCUUCGGAUGGAUUUGAGUAAGAGCAUAGCUGUUGGGACCCGAAAGAUGGUGAACUAUGCCUGAAUAGGGUGAAGCCAGGGGAAACCCUGGUGGAGGCUCGCAGCGGUUCUGACGUGCAAAUCGAUCGUCAAAUUUGGGCAU
rnacentral:rRNA from 1 species